rnacentral:lncRNA from 1 species
UCUUUUUCUUUUCCUUAAAAACGUCGUUCUCUUUUAAUUUCAGAUACUAUCUCCUAAAAAUAAUCUCUUCAUCUAGAGCUUCAUCCCAGCAAACAUAAAGAAGGUAUGAAGUACUUUUCCUUUUAAGUUUUCAGCAUCCCAAAAUAUUUCUUUGAUCUUUUAAAAUUGACAUGCAAAUCUUCAAUUCACUUUUCAAUUUCAUUUUUUCUUCAUUUUUUAUUGUAUUGAUAAUCAAUACCAAUAAAAAUUGAUCAAUUUCUUCUGAAUAUGGUGUUUUUCUCAAUUAUUUUGUAGUUUUGUAGCCUAACUAAUAUCUGCAAAUAUUCAAUGAACUCUUCUUUUUCAUGUUUUCCCUCGAUACGAACUAUAUUGAUAAUUAGAAAUCUUUAAAAAUUGUCAAAUCUAAUAUAGGCUUUUCCCUCCAAUUAUUGUAUAAUUUUGUAACCAAUUAUCAGUAGAGGGUGCAUCUGAUUAUAACAUAAUUUGAGAUAUAUGGUGAGAAUGAGAAGUAUACGAAGAUUAACGAGUUUGUGAAGUAUUAAGAGAAAGAGAAAGCUACAGAGGAGAUAGCAGAGAAUGUUUAAGGUGAUAGGAUCUGGAAAGAUCUUUGAGGGUAUACUUGUCCUUUUACGUAAUAAUUAAUUCUUAUAUCUACAAUAAUAGUAUUUGAAAAGAUCUUUGAGGGUAUAAUUAUCCUUUUACAUAAUAAUAAUAAUUAAUUCUCAUAUUUUAUUAUAGAUACUUUGUACUUGUUCACAGUAUACGUGGCCUUAUAUUUAACACAACUAUCAAAAUAUCUCUCUCUAGAUAUUUCUAAUAAUGCUUUAAAUAAACUUUUAGAUUUCAUAUUUUCUCUCACAAAGAUUUCAUUUUCUUGCUUACCAAGUUGUUGUUUCGAGGUUGUUCAUGUAAGUUUUUAGUAAAUCAUUCUAACUUCUUCUUUUUCAUUUUUUCUAAAUACUUUCUACCCUACAAAAUAGAUUAAAAUUUAUGCUUUUUAUUAUUAUUAUAUCGUCCAAGAUCUAUUUGUAUUAUCACUACAUCAUUAAGUCUAUCAUAUUUUAUCUUUAAUUGAUUUUUGGUAAGUCUUAAUUUUUUUUAAUCAAGGUGUAUAUAAAUAUCUAUUUAUCUAAUAAUGUAUGAGGUUUUCAUGGUUUAUAUUGUUUCAACAUGAUAAGGAGAUUGAACUAGCUUCACCCUGGAAUGAAAGAUUGGAUGACAACAACUCAAAUAAUCAAACAAAUGCUAUAGAUUUCUUUUUUUAUGUUUAUUUGAUGUGGAUUUUAAAGGAUUUAAAUUUGAAAUGUUGAAUUUAUUCUACACAAGUUUGUAUAACUUUAAUUUGACAUUAAUUUAAACGAAGCUAAUUAAUAUAAAUUUAUUUAAUGAAAUUUGAUUUGUCUUAAA